GGCAGCCUCCAAGCUCAACUUCAACAGCCAAUAACGUAGUUCCGCUUCGUCUCUCGCCGACUGGUUUUGCGUUCUCCGGUCGACGUCCUUUCAUGGUUCCAAACCAAGGAUUCCUAAUUUAAGCAUAUAAACAUGUGUGGACGAAAUUGGGGUUAGGGUUGGACUGUCACUGCCUACUCUGCUGGAAGCCGAACCGGCUCAGUUUCUAUUCGUGAGCAUGAAUAUGUAGCAGAUAUAGAUGCUCUAAUCUGUUCAAUCCGAUGUUGAUUUUGAGGCGGAGGUCGAAAGUGCGGAAUUCUUUGGAUUUCUCUGAGGUUGAGAAAGACAGAGAGGACGAUAAGGAUAGAGGAAAGGAGAAACCAAAGCCAAAGCAAGACGGAGGAGAGAGGAGGAUAAAGAAAUGGACAUGCGUAGACAGCUGUUGCUGGUUCAUUGGUUGUAUAUGUUUGAUAUGGUGGUUUUUGCUUUUCUUGUAUAAUGCAAUGCCUGCCUCUUUCCCUCAGUACGUAGCGGAGGCGAUCACGGGGCCGUUGCCUGACCCGCCUGGCGUGAAAUUGAAAAAGGAAGGGCUAACAGCCAAGCAUCCGGUGGUUUUCGUGCCUGGAAUUGUUACCGGCGGGCUGGAAUUGUGGGAAGGACACCAGUGUGCUGACGGAUUGUUUAGAAAGCGACUCUGGGGUGGCACAUUUGGGGAAGUGUACAAAAGACCGUUAUGCUGGGUUGAGCAUAUGUCACUAGACAAUGAAACUGGACUGGACCCUCCUGGCAUAAGGGUCAGGCCUGUAUCUGGACUUGUGGCAGCUGAUUAUUUUGCACCUGGUUAUUUUGUUUGGGCAGUUUUAAUUGCUAAUUUGGCUCGCAUUGGAUAUGAGGAGAAAACCAUGUAUAUGGCUGCAUAUGAUUGGAGAAUAUCAUUCCAGAACACUGAGGUCAGGGACAGAACUCUGAGCAGGAUAAAAAGUAAUAUAGAACUCAUGGUGGCUACUAAUGGUGGGAGAAAGGUGGUUGUUAUUCCACAUUCAAUGGGUGUUCUGUACUUUCUGCAUUUCAUGAAAUGGGUUGAGGCACCCGCUCCAAUGGGUGGUGGGGGUGGAACAAAUUGGUGUGCUGAGCAUAUAAAGGCGGUGAUGAAUAUUGGUGGACCCUUUUUAGGUGUGCCAAAAGCAGUCUCAGGAUUUUUCUCCAAUGAAGCCAGGGAUAUUGCUGCAGCCAGGGCUUAUGCUCCAGGCUUUCUGGAUAAGGAUGUUUUUGGUCUUCAAACUCUGCAACAUUUAAUGCGGAUGGCUCGCACAUGGGAUUCAACCAUGUCUAUGAUACCAAAAGGUGGGGAUACUAUCUGGGGUGGCCUUGAUUGGUCACCUGAAGGAGUCUACAAUUGUGGUGCAAAGAAACCAAAGAACAAUAAUACACACACUACAGUUCCAAAUGGGAAAGGGGCAUCGAGUUUCAUGGAAGGUGUGAACUAUGGGAGAAUUGUAUCAUUCGGGAAAGAUGUGGCUGAGCUUCAUUCCUCCAAAAUUGAGAGGGUUGAUUUUAGGGAUUCUGUUAAGGGUAAUAACCCUGUGAACAAGUGUGACGUCUGGACAGAAUACCAAGAAUUGGGUGUUGGGGGUAUUAAAGCUGUUGUGGACUACAAAGUUUACACAGCUGGAUCAAUUUUGGAUCUGCUUCAUUUUGUUGCUCCCAAGCUUAUGAAACGUGAAGGUGCUCAUUUUUCACAUGGCAUUGCAGACAAUUUAGAUGAUCCUAAAUAUACACACUACAAAUAUUGGUCGAACCCCUUAGAAACAAGAUUACCGAAUGCUCCCGAGAUGGAGAUUUUUUCUAUGUAUGGAGUUGGAAUACCCACUGAAAGAGCAUAUGUUUACAAGCUAACUUCGACUGCUGAAUGCUCAAUUCCAUUUCAGAUAGAUACCUCAGCAAAUGGUGGAAGUGAGAACUCUUGUUUAAAAGAUGGAGUUUUUUCUGUUAAUGGAGAUGAGACAGUUCCUGUCUUGAGUGCAGGUUUUAUGUGUGCAAAAGGUUGGAGAGGGAAAACCAGAUUCAAUCCUUCAGGCAUCCGUACUUACAUAAGGGAAUAUAAUCAUGCUCCUCCAGCUAAUCUUCUGGAGGGCCGAGGCACCCAAAGUGGUGCUCAUGUUGAUAUGCUGGGGAACUUCGCAUUAAUAGAGGACAUUUUAAGGGUAGCAGCGGGAGCGACUGGGGAGGAGUUGGGUGGAGACCAGGUUCACUCUGAUAUUUUCAAGUGGUCCAAAAAGAUCAACUUGCAGCUAUAGUUCAUACGUUAAUGUAUGACCCUUGCAAUUUUCUAGCUGGCCUCACAGUAGUCACAUUCAUCCUUUGGCAGCGAAGAUCAUACACUCACUUUUCCCACUGGCACUUCAAGAAACUCCUAACAGACUACGGAUGCAGCCGAAGUCUGUGAAUUGUGGAGGUACAUUAAUUAGCUCAAAUUCAACAAGGUUUCUGUUACAAAACCAAUGCCAUCCCUCCUGUAUCAUCCCUUCAUUGUUUUGGAAAGGGCCUAACUAGUUUACCGAUUGGUGCAUUUGAGUUCUCUAGUCUCCUGAAAUUAUGGGUAACCUGUAAUUAUCCAACUAUUGUGAAUAAAAUGUGUUAUAAGUUUGCUUUCCCUUUGAAUUUUUGAUCUUGCUGCUUUCACAAGGGGCACCAUACUUGGUUCUUCUUGGUGUCUAGGGUUGAUCUAGACGCGGCCACCAAACGGCCGGUUCUGGGUCUGAACUGGCACUUUAGUAUGAUUGAAUUCAUACAUGGUUCCGGUUUGAUUUUGAUUUUGAUCAAACCCAAAGGUUGAAUUUUAUUUUAUUUUCUUUUUUAAAUUUCGAUUUUGAUUGAAACUGAACUGACUAUUUAUGAUACGGUUUAAAUCAAAAUUUGAUAAAUUCAGUUUUAAAUUAAACUGAAUUGGUUUUGAUUCUGAAUCAGCCCUCGGCCAGAUUCAGGUUUAUCUAUGUUUUUUUUGGGUGGAGAUUUAAUUAAACGAGCUUGUUAGCCCAUUUUGAUUCUAAAUUCUAAUGGAAUUCACGAGGCCUUUUAACAGAGUUGCUGGCCGCUUGAAAGCUGACAGAGCAUCUGCUUCGUAUAGCUAGCGUCUUGUGCUUCUUCUACAAUUUAAAAAGAAAAAUAGUCUGGAGGGUGCUUCUUCUGAGGUUGGACGUUUCAGAGCUGGCUUCACUUGGCCUCCUAUAAUUAUAAAUCAAAGUAACAUAUUUUAAGAACAAUCUCAUUUUGUUUUGCAUAAUCUAGGUCCUAAUGUCAAG
rnacentral:misc_RNA from 1 species